rnacentral:rRNA from 1 species
UGGCGAACGGGUGAGUACGUGUGGGUNAUUGCCUUCGAGCGGGUGAUAUGCCCGUGGAACCGGGAUUAAUACCGCAUAAAGUCAUAAUACGAUGGUGUUGUGAUGAAGUGUGGGGACCUUCGGGCCCGCCACUUGAAGAUAAGCCCGCAUCUGAUUAGUUAGUUGGUAGGGUAAUGGCCUACCAAGAACGCGAUCAGUAGCUGUUCUAAGAGGAAGAUCAGCCACAUUGGGACUGAGAUACGGCCCAGACUCCUACGGGAGGCAGCAGUGAGGAAUUUUGCGCAAUGGGGGAGACCCCUGACGCAGCAACGCCGCGUGACCGAUUGAAGCUUUUAGGAGUGUAAAGGUCUGUCGUGAAGGAAGAAAAACGUCCGAGAAUAAUACGUUCGGUAAUUGACGGUACUUCACAAGCAAGCUCCGGCUAACUUCGUGCCAGCAGCCGCGGUAAUACGAGGGGAGCAAGCGUUGUCCGAAAUAACUGGGCGUAAAGGGUACGUAGGCUUUUUAGUAUGUCUACGGUGAAAUCCACAGGCUCGACUUGUGGCUUGCCGGAAAAACUUGCGAGAUUGAAUCCGCAAGGGGAAAGCGGAAUCCCUGGUGUAGCGGUGAACUGCGUACAUAUCAGGAGGAACACCAGU